rnacentral:tRNA from 1 species
UGGUCUAGUGGUAGAAUAACCGCCUCCCACGCGGUUGACCCGGGUUCGAUUCCCG